GUAAUUUGGCAUAAUCUAAGACAAAUAAGUGUUUUAUUAUGUAAAAUGUUUUGGCUACCAAUUGAUUUUAUUCCAUCUGUUGUCAAAGCAGAAGCAGGAACCAGCACAGAGUUGCCCUCAGCAGGUCCCUGCCAACACACAGCAGAGGAUCCCUUCUAUUCUACAAUACAGUUGCAGAGAGAGAGCUGACUAUAGACAUAAUCACACCUGACAUGUAUUUUAUCCUGUCUUCCUUCUCUGACCCUAACCUGUUGCAGCAGAUGGCCCCGCCCCUCCCUGAGCCUGGUUCUGCCGGAGGUUUCUUCCUGUUAAAAGGGAGUUUUUCCUUCCCACUGUUGCCAAAGUGCUUGCUCAUCAGUGGUCAAAUGAUCUGUGGUUUUUUCUUUGUAUUAUUGUAGAGUCUAGCUUACAAUAUAAAGCACCUUGAGUUGUGUUCUGGCACUGUAUAAAUAAAAU
ensembl:lncRNA